rnacentral:tRNA from 1 species
UGGCUCAGUGGUAGAGUACUUGCCUCACAUGCAGGAGGCCCUGGGUUCGAUUCCUCAG